rnacentral:rRNA from 1 species
CCUACGGGGGGCUGCAGUGGGGAAUAUUGGACAAUGGGGGCAACCCUGAUCCAGCCAUGCCGCGUGUGUGAAGAAGGCCCUCGGGUUGUAAAGCACUUUCAGUGAGGAAGAACGCCUGGUGGUUAAUACCCAUCAGGAAAGACAUCACUCACAGAAGAAGCACCGGCUAACUCCGUGCCAGCAGCCGCGGUAAUACGGAGGGUGCGAGCGUUAAUCGGAAUUACUGGGCGUAAAGCGCGCGUAGGUGGCUUGAUAAGCCGGUUGUGAAAGCCCCGGGCUCAACCUGGGAACGGCAUCCGGAACUGUCAAGCUAGAGUGCAGGAGAGGAAGGUAGAAUUCCCGGUGUAGCGGUGAAAUGCGUAGGGAUCGGGAGGAAUACCAGUGGCGAAGGCGGCCUUCUGGACUGACACUGACACUGAGGUGCGAAAGCGUGGGUAGCAAACAGGAUUAGAUACCCUGGUAGUC